rnacentral:rRNA from 1 species
GUUAAGCGACUAAGCGUACACGGUGGAUGCCCUGGCAGUCAGAGGCGAUGAAGGACGUGCUAAUCUGCGAUAAGCGUCGGUAAGGUGAUAUGAACCGUUAUAACCGGCGAUUUCCGAAUGGGGAAACCCAGUGUGUUUCGACACACUAUCAUUAACUGAAUCCAUAGGUUAAUGAGGCGAACCGGGGGAACUGAAACAUCUAAGUACCCCGAGGAAAAGAAAUCAACCGAGAUUCCCCCAGUAGCGGCGAGCGAACGGGGAGCAGCCCAGAGCCUGAAUCAGUGUGUGUGUUAGUGGAAGCGUCUGGAAAGGCGCGCGAUACAGGGUGACAGCCCCGUACACAAAAAUGCACAUGCUGUGAGCUCGAUGAGUAGGGCGGGACACGUGGUAUCCUGUCUGAAUAUGGGGGGACCAUCCUCCAAGGCUAAAUACUCCUGACUGACCGAUAGUGAACCAGUACCGUGAGGGAAAGGCGAAAAGAACCCCGGCGAGGGGAGUGAAAAAGAACCUGAAACCGUGUACGUACAAGCAGUGGGAGCACGCUUAGGCGUGUGACUGCGUACCUUUUGUAUAAUGGGUCAGCGACUUAUAUUCUGUAGCAAGGUUAACCGAAUAGGGGAGCCGAAGGGAAACCGAGUCUUAACUGGGCGUUAAGUUGCAGGGUAUAGACCCGAAACCCGGUGAUCUAGCCAUGGGCAGGUUGAAGGUUGGGUAACACUAACUGGAGGACCGAACCGACUAAUGUUGAAAAAUUAGCGGAUGACUUGUGGCUGGGGGUGAAAGGCCAAUCAAACCGGGAGAUAGCUGGUUCUCCCCGAAAGCUAUUUAGGUAGCGCCUCGUGAAUUCAUCUCCGGGGGUAGAGCACUGUUUCGGCAAGGGGGUCAUCCCGACUUACCAACCCGAUGCAAACUGCGAAUACCGGAGAAUGUUAUCACGGGAGACACACGGCGGGUGCUAACGUCCGUCGUGAAGAGGGAAACAACCCAGACCGCCAGCUAAGGUCCCAAAGUCAUGGUUAAGUGGGAAACGAUGUGGGAAGGCCCAGACAGCCAGGAUGUUGGCUUAGAAGCAGCCAUCAUUUAAAGAAAGCGUAAUAGCUCACUGGUCGAGUCGGCCUGCGCGGAAGAUGUAACGGGGCUAAACCAUGCACCGAAGCUGCGGCAGCGACGCUUAUGCGUUGUUGGGUAGGGGAGCGUUCUGUAAGC